AUAUAAGCUGGCAUCCAUAGGUCACGGGGGUAAGGACACCAACGUAUCUUUUAGGAGGACACGGUUCAACCCACGACAAAGGAGUUUUCCUACAACAAAGCUGUGGCCUCUACUCUGGCACCAGGAAAGCAUUUCCUAAGACGCUGGUGACGUCCUAUAGACAGCGGCUGUCCUCCAAGAGACAAGAGCCUGAACAGCCUUCUUCAGGAAUACCGAAUCUACUACUGGGAGCUGGAGUCAGAGCUCUGAGAAACGCCGGUGUCAUGAGGUCAUCCUGACGGCCUACAACAUCAUCGGCGAGAGCCCAGCAGCGCGCCCGUGGAGGUGUUCGUCGGCGAGGCUGGUAAACUCCGGGCGCCCCCGCCAUCUGGGAGGCCUGGCCUGGCGCUC